CGCAUCUGUGCAUGCAGCAUAUCAAUAAGCGGAGGAAAAGAAACUAACAAGGAUUCCCCUAGUAACGGCGAAGUGAAGCGGGAAGAGCUCAAAUUUGAAAUCUUCAAGGUUUUACCUUGACGAAUUGUAGUUUAAAGAAGUGUUUUCUGUUGAAGUUUUGGUAAAAGUUCUUUGGAAUAGGACAUCAUAGAGGGUGAGAAUCCCGUAUUUGACCAUUAUUUUCAGCUGUGUGAUACACUUUCAAAGAGUCGGAUUGUUUGGGAAUGCAGUCCAAAAUGGGUGGUAAAUUUCAUCUAGAGCUAAAUAUUGGCGAGAGACCGAUAGCGAACAAGUACCGUGAGGGAAAGAUGAAAAGAACUUUGAAAAGAGAGUUAAACAGUACGUGAAAUUGUCAAAAGGGAAGCGUCUGACACCGAGUGUUGUUUUUCUGAAAAUCAAUUAAAGAACUGUUUAUGCUAAGCUGUUUAGACUCUAUCAGCUACUGUUUAGUUUUGAGCUUUUCUUUAAUGCACUUUUCAGUUAACAAGUCGACAUCAAUUUCUUUUGCUGUAAAAAAGCUUGAGGAAGGUGGCUUGAGAUUCGUCUUAAGUGUUUAUAGCCUCUUGCCUAUGCAGUCGGAGAGAUUGAGGUCUGCAGCGUAGAUCCUUCGGGGCUAAAUGCAUUUGUGCUAAGUUAUAGCAUUUUAUAGACAACUUGUUGACUAUGAUUAGUCUUGUAGCUUACUCGCUUAUGCUUAUUUUACCUACGCUUAGGAUGUUGAUGUGAUACUGCGAGCA
rnacentral:rRNA from 1 species